ensembl:lncRNA novel transcript (contains ZIM2-AS1 and PEG3-AS1)
GGCGUUUUAGCGGGAGAUCCGAGCGUCUCGGCUGGUGGAAGGGGCGAGGAGCUUUGCAGUUGUGUGCGAGUGUGUACAGGGACAGAGUCCUGAGCAAGGAAACCUAGAAGGGAGAGAGGAAUACCAUGGAAUUGAGUCCUGUCUGGUAGCACUGACAGACACAGUGGCCAGCCACCCUCAUGCCACCCUGUCCUGCCAUGGGAAGGAACAGCAGCUCUAGAGUUCCUAUGGGAACUCUCUUUCCUUCUCACUGAACUCUAGCUUCAUCAAUAACUCAGUGCCUCUGGCCAAGUUUUUAGCCUCUGGGACAACAUCCACUAUAUCCAUAUGAGGCACUCAUGUAACACGGUGAUUAAGAGUACAGAUGCUGAAGCCAGCAGCCUAAGUCUGAAUCCUGACUGCCAAUUAUUAAUAUAAGUUGUGGAACCAUGGUCAAGUUACUCAACCUCUUUAUGCCUCUGUCUCCUGGUCUACGAAAUGAAGCUUUGAAUCUGCUGUUAUUAAGUUGCUGGUGCUGAAAUAACACUUAUUAUUUAUGAUCUAACUGAAAUGGGAACACUGGAAACUUCUUUGAAACUGAAGAAAAAAAUGAAAAAGAAGUUUUUACAAUCAAAACUGCCAUGAAGACUGCUUUACCCAAAAUUUUGGUCCACAGCUUUCAUUGAAUUACUUAUCAGGGCAAACAAAGUUUAGCCAUGUGAACACGUUCCAAUUUUGUUGGAAAUAAUUUGGAUCCAGCUAUCUUUAUACAAUGAUAGAAUGACCACAACCAUAUUAACAAACCAAAAACCUGUGCACAGAAACAAGAUGAAGAAAAUAUAUCAAGAUGUUAACCACACUCUUUGGAUGGUGAAAACAUGGGAAGGGAAAGAUCCCGCGGAGGCAUCCCUGGGAAGAAAAAAGGCAUCAACAAGAAGCAGGGCCCAGUCCAUCCUGCAGGUCCCAGGGUGCCCUGCUGCCCACAGCAGUGUUCUCCAAGUCCAGGAAGAAGAGGAAAUGAUUUCCAGCAGUAUGGACACCAACAAUACACUGGUGUGAUGAUUGAUUCCCUUCCAAAUCUCAGGCCUGGUGCUCAGAUGUGGCACUUCCCUAACACUGCAGGAAGUCAUGGCAGACAUUCCUAGUUAACAAUAUUGUUACAAUGUGUUUUUCAUUCUCGCCUUCUGCCUAUGGCACUUCAUACUAGUUUUCAAUUUUUGCAGUGGCAUAGUCUUUCAUACAGAAACUUCCAGUUUUUUUUUUUUUAAUGCACCAGCUUAAGAAUACUGAGCAAAUAGUUUAGGUGGCAACAGGUCUAUGUGGUGAAACCUGUGCUGGUGGUACCGAGUGGAACUUCAAAAAUACGAGCCUUGGACUAAACUUUUGGGGAAGCGGAAUAUACUCCAAAUGGAGCAGCAGAAACUUCGAGGCCCUGGCACUUUCCCCUUGAACCUGUGCACAGCACAUGCUCUAUAUCUCCUACUGGGAAAGAAAGUGGUUAAGACUCACUGCUUCUUGGGUUCCUGGUGUGGGACCAGCGGUCUCGUGGCUCCAUGUCUCUGCUUCUGCCCCUCCGGUCCCAGUCCCGGUCACCUAAGCAGGUGAGACAUUCCAGUGGUUAACAAAGCUCUUUGACACACCUGUUUUCCCUGCAUGUGCACAAACACCCCUCUGGAAAGAGAUGCUACCCUCUUCCCACAAGGAGAUGGAUCCAAAACAGAGAGCUCCAGGUUCCCAGGCUCAUCUGGCCCCUUCUUUAUCAUAUACCCGCAACAUGGUUUCUGCAGGCUUUGCCCAAGUGGGGCUUGCUUCCAAGCAAGUUCCAAAGCUCAGUCCAGUAGCUAACCCCCACUUCAGACUCUUUGCUGGCUUCCCAGUUCCUAAGGGGCUGAGUCCACAUUCAGGAGAAUGGACUGCAGACCCCCUACUGUCUGGCAGCCGAUCUUAAAGUACACGUUAUUCUACUACAAAAAAAACAAAACCCAAGAAAACAACACACACACCCUCCCUGAAAGCAGUGCUCCCUAUAAAAGCUCACUGAAGCAUCUUUAAUGAACCUUCCUGAGGAGGCUGGGGGUACAGCUGGAAGCAGCCUGUUGCAAAUUCCAAAUAGCUUUAUAUACUUUAUCGUUGAAUAAAACGGUAUUAAGUA